rnacentral:rRNA from 1 species
AGUCGAACGGCAGCACGGGUGCUUGCACCUGGUGGCGAGUGGCGAACGGGAGAGUAAUACAUCGGAACAUGUCCUGUAGUGGGGGAUAGCCCGGCGAAAGCCGGAUUAAUACCGCAUACGAUCUACGGAUGAAAGCGGGGGACCUUCGGGCCUCGCGCUAUAGGGUUGGCCGAUGGCUGAUUAGCUAGUUGGUGGGGUAAAGGCCUACCAAGGCGACGAUCAGUAGCUGGUCUGAGAGGACGACCAGCCACACUGGGACUGAGACACGGCCCAGACUCCUACGGGAGGCAGCAGUGGGGAAUUUUGGACAAUGGGCGAAAGCCUGAUCCAGCAAUGCCGCGUGUGUGAAGAAGGCCUUCGGGUUGUAAAGCACUUUUGUCCGGAAAGAAAUCCUUGGCUCUAAUACAGUCSGGGGAUGACGGUACCGGAAGAAUAAGCACCGGCUAACUACGUGCCAGCAGCCGCGGUAAUACGUAGGGUGCGAGCGUUAAUCGGAAUUACUGGGCGUAAAGCGUGCGCAGGCGGUUUGCUAAGACCGAUGUGAAAUCCCCGGGCUCAACCUGGGAACUGCAUUGGUGACUGGCAGGCUAGAGUAUGGCAGAGGGGGGUAGAAUUCCACGUGUAGCAGUGAAUGCGUAGAGAUGUGGAGGAAUACCGAUGGCGAAGGCAGCCCCCUGGGCCAAUACUGACGCUCAUGCACGAAAAGCGUGGGGGAGCAAACAGGAUUAGAUACCCUGGUAGUCCACGCCCUAAACGAUGUCAACUAGUUGUUGGGGGAUUCAUUUCCUUAGUAACGUAGCUAACGCGUGAAGUUGACCGCCUGGGGAGUACGGUCGCAAGAUUAAAACUCAAAGGAAUUGACGGGGACCCGCACAAGCGGUGGAUGAUGUGGAUUAAUUCGAUGCAACGCGAAAAACCUUACCUACCCUUGACAUGGUCGGAAUCCCGCUGAGAGGUGGGAGUGCUCGAAAGAGAACCGGCGCACAGGUGCUGCAUGGCUGUCGUCAGCUCGUGUCGUGAGAUGUUGGGUUAAGUCCCGCAACGAGCGCAACCCUUGUCCUUAGUUGCUACGCAAGAGCACUCUAAGGAGACUGCCGGUGACAAACCGGAGGAAGGUGGGGAUGACGUCAAGUCCUCAUGGCCCUUAUGGGUAGGGCUUCACACGUCAUACAAUGGUCGGAACAGAGGGUUGCCAACCCGCGAGGGGGAGCUAAUCCCAGAAAACCGAUCGUAGUCCGGAUUGCACUCUGCAACUCGAGUGCAUGAAGCUGGAAUCGCUAGUAAUCGCGGAUCAGCAUGCCCGGUGAAUACGUUCCCGGGUCUUGUACACACCGCCCGUCUCACCAUGGGAGUGGGUUUUACCAGAAGUGGAUAGUCUAACCGCAAGGAGGACG